rnacentral:rRNA from 1 species
ACGUAAUAGAUACCCGGGUAGUCCACGCCCUAAACGAUGUCUACUAGUUGUUGGUGGAGUAAAAUCCAUGAGUAAACGCAGCUAAACGCGUGAAGUAGACCGCCUGGGGAGUACGGUCGCAAGAUUAAAACUCAAAUGAAUUGACGGGGGCCCGGCACAAGCGGUGGAUUAUGUGGAUUAAAUUCGAUGCAACGCGAAAAACCUUAACCUGGCCUUGACAUGUAACGAACUUUCCAGAGAUGGAUUGGUUGCUCGAAAGAGAACGUUAACACAGGUGCUGCAUGGCUGUCGUCAGCUCGUGUCGUGAGAUGUU